rnacentral:misc_RNA from 1 species
UCAUUAUUCUACCUGAAAUCUGUUAGACUGUUUCCGAAAUCCUUUUAUGUGAUUAGGAGACCAACUGAAUAGAAAACUUGAGCUGCAUGAUAUCUAAUGUUUGCAAUAUAAUGUAGUAACAUCUGCGUUCUACUGAAACUUAGCCAACUUGUAUAUGUGGAAAUAUUAACUUGUACUUUGGGAUGAGAUCUAUAGGAACUUGUAUUUGUGGAAAUAUUUGUAGGGGCCCCG